GCCCCCUCGGCGGUUGGGGGUUCAUGACGUGACGGGCGGCGCCUCUCAGGCAGGUGGGGAGCGGGGAGGCGAAGUGGGCGGGGUGAGGUGUCGUGUCGUCGGCUGCGUAGCUGCACUGCGCUCUGCGGGCGGCGGUGAGCCUUCCCUGAGGGGACGUGGGGACGGUGCCGCGGGAGAGCCCCGGGCUAAGCCAGGCGCUGAGCCCCAGAGUUGGGUGCAGGCAGCUGGGAUAGGGCAGGCUGCAGGCAGGGCGCAUGGUGUCUCGGGGCGGGGUGGCGGGGGGUGAGGCACGGGGUUAAUCCCGCAGCGGCUUUACUGGAGACUCUGAGCCGAGGGAUUGCCGCCUGCCCCCGCCGGCCCGGCCCAAGGGCACGGCCUUCCCUCGCCCUCGGGGGCCGGCUGCGACCCACGGCCACCCGCCAACGGCCGCGAGGAGAAAAACGGUCCGGGGCGGUGCUGGGGAGCGCUCCCCGGGCGGCAGGAGGCCUUCCCCCCCCCCGCCCCCGACAGGCGCUUUCGGUCCAAGAGAAACCCCCCACCCCGUCCCCCGCCUCUCCCCCCGUUCCCGCCCUGGCAUUCUAAGAUUAGCGCGUUUCUCUGGGUCUUAUUUAAAAAGAAACAACUCGAACGACUAAUUGGAUCCAAGCCGUUAGAGGCGCUCUGGACUGUUUCCAUAAAUUCUUGAAUGUGCGCUCUCAGUCUUUCCAAAAUUGUAACUGCUUGCAAGGAUGCAGAUGGGAUGUGACCUGGAACGCAAUUCACACAGUUCUUACUCAUGAAGUACUGCCUAUUCCUGACUUAAAAGCAGGGGUGGGAGGAGGGAAGAACCACCCUGUUUUUCCUAUUUGGCCUCAUUUGUCCUAAACUGACCAACUGCUUUUCAAAUUCCAUUCUGAAUUUAGUGUUUUUUCUUAACUGGGGUGAUCAUAGGGCAUGGAAAACCUUUUGUUCAUUUGUACCGCUAACCAGAGUUUCAUACCACUAUGUUAGAAAAGGGCAGAAGCGGGUGGAAAAGUGAGCUCAAGUAACAUCCCCAAAAGGCCGGGAGGGUAUUCUUGAAUGGGAACUUGUGCUAGCAAAGCCUGGGAGCAGGGUGGCACUUUGCACGCUGGAGGAAAGCUUAUUUGUCCUAAGGGCAUGAAGGACACGGUGGAGUAUCUCAGUGCUGAGCAACACCAUCUGGCACAGGGUUCCCAGACCAGAGCGCACCAAUGCAACCCAGACACCUUGAACGCCUCAUGCCAACUCAGGACAGAGGGCUUUUCUUGCCUCUGUUACUGUACACAUGCACCUGGUGAUAGCUUAAGGAGAUACUGCCUAUAUAAUGAAAAGUCAGGCAAUGUUGUGCUGUGCCUCCUUUGAGUACCCUCUGAAAUAAGUAUAACGUUAAAUACCUUAAAAUGAUGAUGUUUUGUAUAUGAUUCUCAUAUUACUAUUGCCUUAGCUUAUGUAGAUGAUAAAAUGUUCUUGAAAAUAAUACAGACAGAACCAUUAGAGUCUUCUUCAUCAUUAUUUAUGCCUUUUGUUAUUUGAGGAGCAAUUUUUGUAAUUCUUUGGUCAGCGUCAAAUAGCUUCAAGUUGCUGCUUUGUGGGAAUUUAGGCACUGCCAGAGGCUGUUUAUCAGCUUGCAAACAACUAGAAUUUAAAAAUAACAUACUUUAAUUUCUUAGGUUUCAGGUUUUAUAAAAGUUUGUUUUUAUAAAUACAAGUUUCAGGACAAAAUUAGCGUUGUCCUUUUAAAGAGCACGAUAGUUGAACUGCAGCAGCAAAGCGGUUAGGGAGAUACUAGGCAACAAGGAUAUGUUGAAGGUACACCUUCCCAGUGAUCAUGUAAUCCAAACCUAAUGUUAUGGAAAUUAGGCUUGUUGGCCACCAUAACAGGGCCCGACCCUAGGUUCCCACAGAAAAGUUCAGAGCCAAAUCAAAACAAAUUACAUAAUUAAAUUUUAAUGACACGCAUGCAGUAAUUACAGCUUGAGCUGGGUGCCUCUGAAGAGGGACCCUGAACAAAGAAAUCCCUGGGCAAUUAUAGCUUUUUCAAAUUAAGUUUCCCGCCCCUCACGCGGUAGGUCAGACCAAUAGUAAUUUUUAGGUCUGGGGUCUCCUGCUCCUUAUUGGCUCUCAUCGUUUUUCCUAGGCAGGCUGUUUUUCUCCUUUAUCUUUACUGUUGCAGUUUCUGCUGAUGGUUGUACCUUCGUUUCUUGUUGGGUCUUACUGUUGUCUCUCAAGGUCCUGAGGAGGAGGAGGUGAUUCUAAAUCAUAACAAUUAACACUGCCCCAGCAGUGAGCUAAGGCUUUGUCCCUCAAGGUCCUAAUGCCCCGCACUGGUCUUAUUUCAAAGCCGUGACAUCCUCCCUUUCAGAGUGAGACACAGGAAUGCAGACUGCUUGUAACUUCCUCAUCUUCCCAGCUUGAACCAGCUCUGAGGCCCUUUUCUUACUGAACUAGGUAAAGGUUCAUUACUUUAUCCAGGUGCGGCCUAAGGCUUCAGCAAAUUUAGCUACUCAUGCUAAGCAAGUUUUAUAUAAGUUGUGCUAAGCAGCUACCUCUAGACAGUUUCAGUUUGCUAUUCUUUAACACCUAACAUACUGUUAGGUAGCACUGUGAAUGUAUGGUCUGCUCCAACUCUCACUGAACCCAAACUCAGACCACCUCUUGAUUUAGAAAGGAGCAGGACAGCUCCCUGAAGACAUCUGGUCUCCAGGCCAUGCAAGAAAAAGGAAACCAACAAAGCAAAAGUCGAACUGUGUGCCAGGCUUAAAUCUCCGUCUUAAGUCCUGCCAUACAGACAGUGAGAUACUUGCAGUUCCUGAAACAUUACAUAUACUGAUCCUGUGUUCCUCACAGCAAAGAGCAAGGACUAAGCACAUCUCUGGGCUAAAAUAAAUUUUUUCACUACAGUUACAUCAGGAGGGAGUUUGAUCCUUCUGUGGAUUUAGGACUUUGUUUCCUUUCCUUUUGUGCUGCCCUGUUGUCGAACAGAAACAAUGAAAAAACAUUUGAGGUGUCCCUUUUUCUGGGCUGAAGAAAAGUUAAAAAGUAAGUGGACAGCCAUUUGAGAAUAAGAUUAUUCUUUCCAUCAGAAAAUCAAAGCACAGAGAAAUAGUGACAAGUCUGUUAAAUGAGAUGGCAAAAUACACAAGAUGGUUGUAUACAUCAGGGGAAAAUGUAUAGGCACAUAGCCUCUUGUCUCAAUAUAGCUCAGUGUUUUUCCUUCUUAAUAGAUCCAUCAACACAAACCCAUCUGGUCUGUAAUAGAAAAAGGAAGCUGGUUAGGGUAUUCCCCAGGCCUGUGCACUUAACCUUCGUUUUAUCUUUGCUCCUUGGUUUUUCUCUUCUGACUGAUGGAGCCUCAUGACAGUGUAAUCCUUCCAGAGCUAUUAAGAAGAGGAAUUCCAUUCUGUGUAUUCCAACAGGAGAGCUGUGGGGUGACAUCCAAAGCAUUAUUGAUGUCCUUUAUUCUGCAGAUAAGAGCUGACGGCAAUCCCUGAUGGCCGUACCUGGGCACUGAGCCCAGCAGGCCCAUCACAUCUGAGUGGGAGGUGCCACAAAGUUCUCUCUAAGUCUCUAAGACUCUAAGUUCUGACUUUUCACUACAGCAGCCUCCCCUUGGCUGCAGAUAUUGCCUGAAAGGCCACAGACACCUUAACCUUAUCAGCAUCAAAAAUGCUGAGAAAAUUCAGUCUGUCAUUCUGGUCCUCACCAGUGUUCCUCUGGUCUCCCCCUGCGUGAUCAGUGGCAAUACAGGUGAUUGUUGGAUCAUCUAUUGUAGGGAGCCUGAGUGAGCUGCACAAAAUAACCUUCUUGAAAUACUUCAUUCAAUAAUAAAUGAAAAUGAGCUAUUUAUAUGAGCACAGGGGUCACAUGCAAGUGUUGCAGCUAAAAUCAAACAUACAAAGGAUAGGAAUGUCCUGCUUUCCAACAGUACCCUAAUAAUAGUCCUUACACUAACAGUUCAGUAGAGCUCUGCACAUACGCUUUUUAAUUUGGUCCUGCAAUUUCAGGAUAGGAGUAGUGCAAGUAUGAAAUUCAGCUGACAACUGUGAAAAGCAAGUCCUGGUUCCAAUCCCGGGGAUCAGACAUAUGUCAAGGUAUGGACCGACACACACAGUUUUGUUGCUGGGAAAGAUCACUAGCCUGACUGCUAGCACCAGAGAGGAAGAAAAGCAAAAAAGAUGAUUCAUAUUUAUAAUAUUUCCCAUGUAAGUAUGUGGGUGGGAGUGCUCUUAGCCUGUUUCCACAAUCUAAAAAAAAAAGCAACAGCUUAUUUCCAAUUCAAUAACAGAAGCAUACAGCAUUUUAAAUUAGUCUGAAAAAUGAGGAAGGGCAUAGUAUAACAUAGUUUUCUUCUUUGUUGCUCCAUAUUGUUUAAAUUCAUGAGAUUUACAUGCUGUGUUAAGCCAGCUGAAGAGCUGCUGUCAGCCAAAAGCAGCAAAUAAAAGAAAGAGAGGAAGAACAUAACUGGAGAGUUGUAAGGAAAAAAGGCCACAUCUUAGCAGACCUCUGACUAAUAAAUAUAGCACAACUGAUGAGAUCCCUCUAUGGCAGCUGUCAUAAAAUAUUUUGACUUAUAGAAAAACAGAGAAGAUGAACAAAAAUUCUCAAGUAAGUGUCAGUAUAAAUAAGUGAAUUUAAUGAUCUGACUUCCUUAAACAGCAGCAAACGAAUAGAUGAGCUCUUGCUUCAAGAGACUUUUCUGUACAUAGGUACUUCACUUUGAAGCAAAGUCACAAAGACCUGCUUUUCUCCUCUUAGUGCUAGCAAAAUGAUGGUUGAAGCAGAUUUUAAGUGCCUGGUAUUUACUGAACACUGUCCAUGGUCUCCUGCAAGAUGCUAGUGGAGCCGGACCAAUUUACACAAACUAGAAAUCUGCCUGUGAGAACCUAUAAACAGAAACUGCCGCGUAGGAGAUUUGUGAUAUGAAGUUAGCGAUGACUAGCAGGAUGAGAUUACAACUUCCAACAGCACCUUGAAUUUGGAACCUGUAUCCUGAUUCUUCAAAAGAAAUGUUGGCAUUUUUGAAAACGAUACUCCAGAAUUUAACCCAGGAAAAGAAAAAGCUGUGCUAGCAAGAAGAGAAAAAAAUCCCAGGAAUUUUUCGACAUUCCUCUCUCUCCAGCACUCAAUGGCAUAAAAUUACGAGUCAUAAACUGUCAGUCUGAAUGAUCAUAUUUCCUGGUCAUUUAGAUCAUAACAAUAGAGAUAGAUCUUUUUAUUUACCUCCAGUAUAUGCCAGUCAUUUUGAUUGUUGUAAGGAUCUCACCAUUCUACACGGUUCCCUUGAGGUAACUGUACAUGAAGACUGUAACUAUAGGAAAAUCAGUUUAGAUCAUUUGUCUCUGAAGCUGCACGGUUGCCAGCAGAACUCCAGUGAAAGAACAGCUUAGAAGGAUGUGUUUCUCCUCAUCCUAUAUAAAUUUAUCAUUUUACAACUUAUCACUGAAUGGGAGAGCAUAUAGUUCAAGCUAUUGUGGCUGUAGCAAGCUAAUGGAGACAAGCCAAUUCUUACCACUCAGAAUCCUGGCUCUAUUUCCACACUCCUGUCCACCCACUUGUCUUGUAUUGUUCCACAAAAACACCUCAUUCUUGGGAAAUUUAUUUUCAGAUGUGUUACUUUUCUCUCUAAUUACAGUGAGAGAGUAAAUUGCCUUGCCAGUUCUAUAUGAAAUAUGCUAAUUGUAGCAUCAUCUAAAUAAUUUCAGAAAAAAUUAUCAACUCUGAAUAAAGAAGACAGUGAAUGAAAGAGGAAAACACUGGCAUACACAGCAAUUUCAAGGCAUGAAGUAGUCCUGAUAAGUCAGGACCAUGAGCCAGGCCUUUUAGAAAGUUAGAAGAUUUUGGCAAACUGUUUUCUAACACUGUACACAAAAAUAAAAAUAAUAAAGAGCCUGCUUGACAAUA